GUUGCCUAAGAGACCUUGCCUGCUCCGAGAUAAAAAUAUAGGAGCACAGCAGUAACAUGAUAAUAUCAAAACACAGGCCAAGGGAGGGCUCCUUGAGAAAUCACUAAGAAUUCUUGGCAUUCGCUAAUUGCUUCAUCCAGAACACCUGUGUAUGUUUAGCAGAUGUAAACUAUGUAUAUAUUGAAACGCUGGUUAUAAUAAACUCAGAGUGGCCAUCAGCCCUCUCCGCAUCUAUCCUGAUGUGUACAUUGGAUUGCAACACCGACACCCUUUGAGUAUAACACUAGUUAUUUCUACUCCCUCCUUGUCCCUUCUAGAGCAUGGCUUGACAUGCAGUAUGUAGGUCCGCAACCAGGAUCUGAACCCGGUGAAUCCUGAGCCGCUGAAGUGGAACGUGUGAACUUCACCUGCUGCACCACCGGGCCAGAGCCCCUGGAACCUUCUUGAUAGUUUCCUCUUAAACAAUCUCUCCUCAAUGAGAAUUGGUUAUCCUCCUAAUGUUAAUUUGCCCCUCACUCUGAUUCUUUCAUGUUACCCCGAUCCUCUUUUUAGUGGUGCAGUCAAAUGUACAGAUAAUGAAAAAGCCAGAAACACAUCACUUGGCUGCAGACUUAAAAAAAAAAAGUGCAUUCUUUUUCCAUGAACUCUUUUGCAUUAUUGUUGAUUUGUAUAGAACGGCUCUCAUAGCAUCAAUGCUUGAAACAUUGUCUAUUAUCCUUAUUCUUUCAUCACUGGAAAAUCUUUUCAAAUAUUACAUAUUUAUGCAAAAUAAAACAUUAAGGUUAACCAAAGGCAUAUAUAUAUCUAUUUGCUUUUCAACUUAAAAAACAAAUCUGCCAAUUAUUUUAUGCUCAAAACAAGUUUAUUUGGGAAUAGCUAAAAGAAUUGAAAUUUGGGAUGUGCAUGCUAUGGUGAGCUGUAGGCAAAUCCAGAGAACGAAGGACUGGGCUUGCUUUUAUAGAGCAAAAGGAUGAAUAGGGAGGGGCUGUUAUAGCCAAAAGUCGCUU
rnacentral:lncRNA from 1 species